rnacentral:rRNA from 1 species
UACGUAGGCAGCGAGCGUUGUUCGGAGUUACUGGGCGUAAAGAGUGCGUAGGCGGUUUUCUAAGGUUGGUGUGAAAUCUCCCGGCUUAACUGGGAGGGUGCGCCGAAAACUGGAAGGCUUGAGUAUGGGAGAGGAAAGCGGAAUUCCUGGUGUAGCGGUGAAAUGCGUAGAUAUCAGGAGGAACACCUGUGGUGUAGACGGCUUUCUGGACCAUAGCUGACGCUGAGACACGAAAGCGUGGGUAGCAAACAGG